CGCCUCUUGAAACUACAUAAGAGGUCCAGCCUGCCCAGUGACUAAGUUCAACGGCCGCGGUAUCCUAACCGUGCGAAGGUAGCGUAAUCACUUGUUCUUUAAAUGAGGACUAGUAUGAAUGGCACCACGAGGGUUAUGCUGUCUCCUUUUUCUAAUCAAUGAAACUGAUCUCCCCGUGAAGAAGCGGGGAUAUACCUAUAAGACGAGAAGACCCUAUGGAGCUUUAAAUCAUGUAACACUGGCUUUCACAUUAAAAUAUUCCAGAAUUUUCAUAAUUACUCUAGCCACUAUGAUUACUAGUUUUAGGUUGGGGUGACCACGGAGCAAAAAUUAACCUCCAUGUUGAACGGAGCUACUCCUGAGCCAAAAGCCACGACUUUAAGCACUAAAAAAUUAACAUUAAUUGACCCAAUAUUUUUGAUCAACGAACCAAGUUACCCUAGGGAUAACAGCGCA
rnacentral:rRNA from 1 species